rnacentral:rRNA from 1 species
UCGAGAAUCAUUCACAAUGGGCGAAAGCCUGAUGGUGUGACGCCGCGUGGAGGAUGACGGUCUUCGGAUUGUAAACUCCUGUCAAGUGAGAGUAAGGUUGCGCGUUAACUGCGUCGCAAUUUGAGAGUAUCACUAGAGGAAGAGACGGCUAACUCUGUGCCAGCAGCCGCGGUAAUACAGAGGUCUCAAGCGUUGUUCGGAAUCACUGGGCGUAAAGGGUGCGUAGGCUGUGUUGUAAGUCAGAGGUGAAAUCCCGGGGCUCAACCCCGGAACUGCCUCCGAUACUGCAAGACUUGAGGACUGGAGAGGAGAUUGGAAUUCAUGGUGGAGCAGUGAAAUGCGUAGAUAUCAUGAGGAACGCUAGUGGCGUAGGCGAAUCUCUGGACAGUUCCUGACGCUGAGGCACGAAGGCCAGGGGAGUAAACGGG